UACAUCGGUCAAUUGCUAUUUGAAAAAAUAGAGGAAAGUCCGCGCUAGCACUAUCUGCGAUUGAUAGUAGUGUUCAUGUUGGAUCUAAUAAAUCCAAGCCCAGACGACUAGUGCCACAGAGACGAGCUUAUUAAAUUAAGGUGAAACGCGGUAAACUCCAUGAGCUAGAAACCCAAAUUAAGGUAGGGGAAUUUGCUUUUAAAAAAUGAAUUAAAAGCAAAAGAUGUAAAAAUCUAGAUAAAUAAUUGACACUUUUUUAUAAAGGACAGAACGCGGCUUAUAGAU
rnacentral:RNase_P_RNA from 1 species